AAACAAAUAUAUACAUUUCCUAAAGUACUAAAUACAAAUAUACACUUAUUAAAUAACAAUAUACACUUCCUAAAUAUACACUUCAUAAAUAAAAAUAUACACUUCCUAAAUAUACACUUCAUAAAUAAAAAUAUACACUUCAAAAUACAAAACAAAUAUAUACAUUUCCUAAAUACUAAAUACAAAUAUACACUUAUUAAAUAACAAUAUACACUUCCUAAAUACAAAUAUACACUUCCUAACAACACCACAACAUUGCAAUUAACCGGAAAAUAAAAGCAAACACAAAAUAAAACUAAAGCUCAAAAACGUACUCGAGGAGGAGGAGGGAGGACCGGAGCAGCAGCAGGAGGAGGAGGCCGGGCGGAGAGGGAGCGGAGGCCGGGCGGAGAGGGAGAGGGAGAGGGAGAGGGAGAGGAGGCGGAGGCCGGGCGGAGAGGGAGAGGGAGAGGGAGCGGAGGCGGAGAGGGAGAGGGAGCGGAGGCGGAGGGGAAAUUCGGAGAGGGAGAUAGAGGAAAAGGAAGCUAGGGUUUAGUCGAGCGGGGUUAUACCCGAAGACUUUAGCCGACGAAAUAACUAUUUCGUCGGCUAAAGUUAAUAAUUUCGUCGGCUAACAUAACACUUUAGCCGACGAACUCAGUAAUUUCGUCGGCUAACACUUUAGCCGACGAAUGUAGUAAUUUCGUCGGUUUUAUAACUUUUUAUACAUUCGUCUACCGUGAUUUUUCAACCGUAGAGGUAUUUCACCAUUCUGGUCAUGUCUUAUUUCACGACUUUUUUACGUUUGAAGGUUCUACGUAUAGUUUGUUUUUGAAACGGAACAUUUACUUAACACUUGGUAAACAAGUUGUACAACAUUAGUAAGCAUGUUGUGAUUGUGAUGAUCAAACUUGAGAAAAGGAAAUCCGACGGUCAGAUCUGACCAUCAUGAUAAAAUACAUGUAUGGGAAAAAAUUCAACUUGAUCUGACAAGGUUAAGUGCUCGAUCCGGACGGUCAAUCCCGUAAGUCAAACCCCUAAAUGCACGGAAAAGGUCGUUGGACCGUCAAAAUUUCGUAUUUUGGCCGGACCUUCAACUGAAAAUAUUUUCAAAUCGAUGAGACACAAUAAAUCGUAUAAAAAUUUUACGCAAAAUAACCACCGAAGAUAGGGCUAUAGUAUGUAACAGAAAAAGUUUAGGUUUUAGCCGACGAAAUAUUAGAGUAUUUCGUCGGCUAUAAGUUAUUUUAGCCGACGAUGUCUAGUAUUUUUCGUCGGCUAUAGUAUGUAAUAAAAAAAAGUUUAGGGUUUAGCCGACGAAAUAUUAGGGUAUUUC
rnacentral:lncRNA from 1 species